rnacentral:rRNA from 1 species
UACGUAGGGGGCUAGCGUUGUCCGGAAUCAUUGGGCGUAAAGCGCGUGUAGGCGGUUCGGUAAGUCCGCUGUGAAAGUCGGGGGCUCAACCCUCGAAUGCCGGUGGAUACUGUCGGGCUAGAGUGCGGAAGAGGCGAGUGGAAUUCCUGGUGUAGCGGUGAAAUGCGCAGAUAUCAGGAGGAACACCGAUGGCGAAGGCAGCUCGCUGGGACGGUACUGACGCUGAGGCGCGAAAGCGUGGGGAGCGAACAGG